AUUGAACGCUGGCGGCAGGCCUAACACAUGCAAGUCGAACGGGUUGCAGACGGGAGAGUAAUGUAUGGAAAACUUCCUGAUGAAAGGGGAUAACAACUGGAAACGGUAGCUGAUACCGCAUACCAUCGGAUGUGCCCAGAUCUGCUUAGCUAUUAGGUGGAGUAAAGGCGCACCUAGCCGACCAACCCUAGCUGGGCUGAGAGGAUGACCAGCCACACUGGAACGGAGGCACGAUCCAGAGUCGUAGGGGAGGCAGAAGGGGGGAAUAUUGCACAAUGGGCGAAAGCCUGAUGCAGACAUGCCGCGUGUAUGAAGAAGGCCUUCGGGUUGUAAAGUACUUUCAGCGGGGAGGCGUUACCCGCAGAAGAAGCACCGGCUAACUCCGUGCCAGCAGCCGCGGUAAUUC
rnacentral:rRNA from 1 species